ACCUAAGGUACUUGGAAAAUCAGAGCAGCAGGGCAACUGACGCGACAAUCCCAAAAGGAUUGAGCGUGGGGCGACGAUCUCUUUGGGAUCGCGCUGUUUUUGCUGCUGUGGUUUCCAAGUAUCGAUAAUAGGU
rnacentral:rRNA from 1 species